CACGUAGUUAGCCGAGACUUAUUCCUCAGGUACCGUCAUCAUCUUCCCUGAGAAGAGAACUUUACAACCCGAAGGCCGUCAUCGUUCACGCGGCGUUGCUGCCUCAGAGUUUCCUCCAUUGGGCAAUAUUCCUCA
rnacentral:rRNA from 1 species